UGAAUGCCAGUGAGAUUCAGCUUCUCC
rnacentral:piRNA from 1 species